rnacentral:snRNA from 1 species
GUCCCUUUGGGGACAUCCGAUAAAAUUGGAACGAUACAGAGAAGAUUAGCAUGGCCCCUGCAGAAGGAUGACACGCACAAAUCGAGAAAUGGUCCAAUUUUUU